rnacentral:rRNA from 1 species
CGGGGGGAGCAAGCGUUGUUCGGAUUUACUGGGCGUAAAGGGCGCGUAGGCGGCCACCGCAAGUCGACUGUGAAAUCUCCGGGCUUAACCCGGAAAGGUCAGCCGAUACUGCGGGGCUAGAGUGCAGAAGGGGCAACUGGAAUUCUCGGUGUAGCGGUGAAAUGCGUAGAUAUCGAGAGGAACACCUGCGGCGAAGGCGGGUUGCUGGGCUGACACUGACGCUGAGGCGCGAAAGCUAGGGGAGCGAACGGGAUUAGAUACCCCGGUAGUCCUAGCCUUAAACGAUGAAUGUUUGGUGUCUGGGGUUUUAUAGUCCCCGGGUGCCGUCGCUAACGCUUUAAGCAUUCCGCCUGGGGAGUACGGUCGCAAGACUG